GCCUUCUAUUGGUUUCAUUCAACUAAUUUAUAUUAACUAGAAAUGCAUGCAUGUAUUCCUAUAUAUUCCAAACAUUGUGUCAACAUGAAGUAUUCGUAGUUACGCCAAUACUGAACGCAGGCUCGCGUUGCCACGUCAUGUUAGUCAUGGCAACACGAUAAUUGUUUUUUUAAUUUUUUGUACAAACCGGGAAAAAAUAGAUGAAAUUUGAACACUUUUAAAUACAGAACUAUCAAUUUCUAAAAUAUAUAAAGUAGGUAUAAUAUUUUGGCUUCUAUGGGCUUUAUUUUAAAUUAAUGUAAAA